GACGAACCGUGCGAACGUUGUUCGGAAUCACUGGGCUUAAAGGGCGCGUAGGCGGCUUGUCAAGUCAGGGGUGAAAUCUUUCGGCUCAACCGGAAAAAGUGCCCUUGAUACUGACAGGCUCGAGGGAGGUAGGGGCAUGUGGAACUUCUGGUGGAGCGGUGAAAUGCGUUGAUAUCAGAAGGAACGCCGGUGGCGAAAGCGACGUGCUGGACCUCUUCUGACGCUGAGGCGCGAAAGCUAGGGGAGCAAACGGG
rnacentral:rRNA from 1 species